AGAGUUUGAUCCUGGCUCAGGACGAACGCUGACGGUGUGCUUUAGGCAUGCAAGUCGAACGAGAAAGCCCUUCGGGGUGAGUAAAGUGGCGAACGGGUGAGUAACACGUGGGCAACCUGCCCCUCGCAGGGGGACAACCGGAGGAAACUCCGGCUAAUACCCCGUACGCUUGUUGGAUCGCAUGGUUCGGCAGGGAAAGGUAGCUUCGGCCAUCCGGCGAGGGAUGGGCCCGCGUUGCAUUAGCUAGUUGGUGGGGUAACGGCCUACCAAGGCGACGAUGCGUAGCUGGUCUGAGAGGAUGAUCAGCCACACUGGGACUGAGACACGGCCCAGACUCCUACGGGAGGCAGCAGCCAGGAAUCUUGGGCAAUGGGCGAAAGCCUGACCCAGCAACACCGUGUGGGCGAUGAAGGCCUUAGGGUCGUAAAGCCCUGUUGAUAGGGACGAAGGGCGAAGGGUUAAUAGCCCCUAGCUUGACGGUACCUUUCGAGGAAGCCCCGGCUAACUACGUGCCAGCAGCCGCGGUAAUACGUAGGGGGCGAGCGUUGUCCGGAAUUAUUGGGCGUAAAGAGCGUGUAGGCGGUUCGGUAAGUCUGCUGUGAAAUCCUGGGGCUCAACCCUGGGCGUGCAGCGGAUACUGCCGGGCUAGAGGGUGGUAGAGGCGAGUGGAAUUCCGAGUGUAGCGGUGAAAUGCGCAGAUAUUCGGAGGAACACCAGUAGCGAAGGCGGCUCGCUGGGCCACACCUGACGCUGAGNCGCGAAAGCGUGGGGAGCGAACAGGAUUAGAUACCCCCGUAGUCC
rnacentral:rRNA from 1 species